rnacentral:lncRNA from 1 species
UUCCUUACCAGGUUCAGGAGAGGCACCAGCCUCCAGCUGUAAUCUCUCUCUCUCCAGGAUAGCUUGCUGGAUCUACCAGACCUGGUUAAUGUCUCACUCCCAGCUGUGUGUUCCCCUGCACUGAACACAGAGGUGCUGGAGUGACCUCUCUCAGAGUGGGCCAAGGGGUCCUGUUCUUCUGGAAAUGCCCUUUCAAUACGAGACAGCCUCACACUCACUUCUGGACCUGCCACCAGGGGUUUGGCUGCUCGGGGGUGGUGGUUGGGGAAGUUGGUGAGGGGCGGGUCUGUCUGGGUGUGAACUCUGGACAUUGAGUGUGUUGUCUUGGCUCUGAUUAGCUUCUACAGAUGAUGAUGUUUGCCCAUUGGACUCCGAUGGCCCUGAGCAGAGCUGCAAUCAGAUGGACACACUCUGACCCCAGGACCUUUGACCCCAAACCAUCAGCGAUCUCUGAACCAGGCUGGGGGAGCCACACACACACACACCGACACAGAGAGAGACCGGCAGACACAGAAAAGUCUAAACUACUUUAGAGUCAGUAGACAAGAGAGUAUAUCCACACAAUUUCAUUGACAAUUUACAUGUUUGGGCUACCUAUUUAUUUGUUAGUGUUAAUCUUACUUUUUGAAUCACUUUAAACCAAUAGUGGCCCUGCCAGCAGGUAAAACCCUUGAGGUGUUGUUUGUUUCCUCACCUGUGUGUCGUCAGCAGUGAGCAGUGUCUAACACCUCCCUCUGUCUCCUCCUCUGCUCUUCCUCCAGCCAUCUCCGUUCUUCCCUCUGCUCCCUCUGGGCCUCACGUAUCUCCUGCCUCUGCCUCUCCACCUCUUCCCCAGACCUGGCUGAGGCCCACAGGACAGGCCCAGGCUUCACCGGGGCCUCCCCAGGGAGAGUAGCUGACUCUUCUCAAAGGGUUGGGCUAAUGGCUGGGAUGGAGUCAGCUGUUGAUGGGAGUGGGAUGCGUGGAGUAGAGUGGAGGGAAACAGGAUGUGGUCUGUAGGACUGGGGGUCCAACGAGGUAGAGGUGCCAGGUAGCUUCUCAGGGAGGUCCUCUGUGACCCUACUAAACACAUUGUCCGCCAGCCAAGCAGAAACACCUGCUCUUUGGUCUCUUAGGCUUUAAGCGGUGGGUUCGAGCUGCACUGGUGAGGCCCUGGAGUUGAUAUGCGAGCAGACUGUUGCGCCAGGAAGGAAGAGAGUUUGAGCCAAGAUGGAGGGCUCCCGUGUGGAGAGGUCCAGAGGGGUGUGAGCUCUAGAGUGGGUACUAAGUGCUACAGGGAGACAGGGGAGCCAGAGGGGAGUUCUAGUGGCACUACCGGGGGAAUGAUUCCUCCUUUAAAGUGUGGUAGAGGACGGGCUGUGGUACCAGGAGGGAGACAUGUUGCCGUAGUUACACCAGAAUAGCGGUUUCUUAGCGUGUGUUGGUACUCUUCCAGACGCCGGUGAGACUCUUCCACUGACUGCUUAUGAAGCCU